AUGUCUUCCUCCUCCGGCGCAUCCCAAACCAGCCUCAAUGGCCAGGUUACCGAGAAGCUGACGCGCACAAACUAUGUGCUAUGGCGCACGCAAGUCAUCCCCCAGCUGCGUGGCGCCGGUGUCUACGGCUACAUCGACGGCACCCAGCCAGAGCCAGCAAAACUCCACGUCACCACCAAGGACGGCAAGGAGGUCUCAUCAUCGCCCAACCCUCUCCACCCAAUCUGGGUCAGGGAGGAUCAGCAGGUCCUUGGAUAUCUGCUGAAUAACCUGACGCGUGAGGUGCUGCUCACGGUGACCACGGUC
rnacentral:rRNA from 1 species